rnacentral:lncRNA from 12 species
AGAAUUAAUAACAUGUUUGAGUCCAAAAAGAUAGUAUUAUAUGCUGGGGCCAACUUUAAAAAAAAAAAAAUAGAGAUCCCUGGGUGGCUCAGUGGUUCAGCACCUGCCUUCCGCCCAGGGCGUGAUCCCGGAGUCCCGGGAUCGAGUCCCAUAUCGGGCUCCCAGCAUGGAGCCUGCUUCUCCCUCUGCCUCUCUCUCUCUCUCUCUCUCUCUCUCUGUGUGUGUGUUUAUCAUGAAUAAAUAAAUAUUAUUUAAAAAUAUAGAAGUUGUGAUAUGAAAAAUAAAUGACUAAGGCAAAACAUAAAAUUAAUCAAUAGGGCGUCCUGAAGAGCAUGUCAGUGAUGCCAAUGAUCAGAAGUCCUGGCUCAGGUUUAGGGAUUCCAAUGUUGUCAUGAACCAGCUCUCACGUUGAACAAACCACUUUUCCUUUCUGGCAUCAUUUUCCCCAGCACGUAAAAUCAGGUAUGGUAUAUUGAAUAGAGACACCACAAUUUACAGAUGACGUGAUUCCCCACAUCCUUUUGUUGCUAACAUUUUAGGGCGCUGAGCGCAGGUUUCUGCCAGUGGAUAUUCUUGAGGCUAACAGUAACUUGAAAACAAAGCGAUGGCAUGACGUGCACAUGCGGAAUGUGCUUUUAUAGCAUAUAAUACAAUAAAAAUACUUUUCUUAAAUAAUCCAUGACAGAUGAAUUCAUCUUCUCUUUAGAAAAAUCUAAUCAAAUGUUAAGACGCCUCUUUCCAGCACCAAGAGCUACAACCCUCCUUGUCCUCGGAAACAAACAAAUGAAACUUCGUGUUCCCAGGGAUGGCGAGUCAAGUUGAAACCUGUUGUCACAGCCCUGCGGAAAAUGUGGAUCCGUAAGAUUUCAUGCCAGACGUUGGGUGCCAGACAUCUUGCAAUGGGGAGUGGAGGGGGGAGGGCAAGAAAACUAGUGGUUAAAUGGGAGGACGGAAUGGGAGAAAAUAUGAUUGUACUCCUAGCCACCCAGACGGCAUUCUUCUCUGACACAUUUGUGAUAUGGAUCUCAGCCCAGAGGAAAGUCCAGGAUGAGAAGCCAGGCAUGAGCAGUUUAAUAUAUGUUUCUUCUGAGUCUUGCGGUGACCCUUACAGUGGUGGAUAA